GUGCGUCGAGCGGCGGACGGGUGAGUAAUGCCUAGGAAAUUGCCUUGAUGUGGGGGAUAACCAUUGGAAACGAUGGCUAAUACCGCAUAAUGCCUACGGGCCAAAGAGGGGGAUCUUCGGACCUCUCGCGUCAAGAUAUGCCUAGGUGGGAUUAGCUAGUUGGUGAGGUAAUGGCUCACCAAGGCGACGAUCCCUAGCUGGUCUGAGAGGAUGAUCAGCCACACUGGAACUGAGACACGGUCCAGACUCCUACGGGAGGCAGCAGUGGGGAAUAUUGCACAAUGGGCGAAAGCCUGAUGCAGCCAUGCCGCGUGUAUGAAGAAGGCCUUCGGGUUGUAAAGUACUUUCAGUUGUGAGGAAGGGGGUGACGUUAAUAGCUGUAUCUCUUGACGUUAGCAACAGAAGAAGCACCGGCUAACUCCGUGCCAGCAGCCGCGGUAAUACGGAGGGUGCGAGCGUUAAUCGGAAUUACUGGGCGUAAAGCGCAUGCAGGUGGUUCAUUAAGUCAGAUGUGAAAGCCCGGGGCUCAACCUCGGAACUGCAUUUGAAACUGGUGAACUAGAGUGCUGUAGAGGGGGGUAGAAUUUCAGGUGUAGCGGUGAAAUGCGUAGAGAUCUGAAGGAAUACCAGUGGCGAAGGCGGCCCCCUGGACAGACACUGACACUCAGAUGCGAAAGCGUGGGGAGCAAACAGGAUUAGAUACCCUGGUAGUCCACGCCGUAAACGAUGUCUACUUGGAGGUUGUGGCCUUGAGCCGUGGCUUUCGGAGCUAACGCGUUAAGUAGACCGCCUGGGGAGUACGGUCGCAAGAUUAAAACUCAAAUGAAUUGACGGGGGCCCGCACAAGCGGUGGAGCAUGUGGUUUAAUUCGAUGCAACGCGAAGAACCUUACCUACUCUUGACAUCCAGAGAAGCCAGCGGAGACGCAGGUGUGCCUUCGGGAACUCUGAGACAGGUGCUGCAUGGCUGUCGUCAGCUCGUGUUGUGAAAUGUUGGGUUAAGUCCCGCAACGAGCGCAACCCUUAUCCUUGUUUGCCAGCGAGUAAUGUCGGGAACUCCAGGGAGACUGCCGGUGAUAAACCGGAGGAAAGGUGGGACAACGUCAAGUCAUCAUGGCCCUUACGAGUAGG
rnacentral:rRNA from 1 species